GGUAUUUCUCCCCUGCUCUCCUCCUUGGUCCAGCCAGGGAUGCUGGAGCUCCUGUGUGUGUGGCCUUCCUCCCUGCCUGUCCUCUCACUGGCUUUUCCCUCAGGAGCUCUGGGGACGCUCCCGGCAACUCCACUGUGUCUCUGCCCAGCUCAGCUGUCCAGCUCAGAGCGGCCUUCGUGCAAGGUUGCUUCUUCGAAAGCCCCUCAUAUCGCUUCCUGCCAGGGCGCUGCCGCGGGAGCUCAUUUUAUCCUAGCCACUGGGCCAGCGGCCAGGUGGCUUCCGUGAUCCCCAUCUUACAGAUGAGAAAACUGAGGCCCGGAGAGGCGCUGUGAGUGACUCUAAGCCUUCUGGCCGGAGAGUAUCAGAUUCUGAACCCAGGUCUCUGUGACUCUGGUGCCUGGGGCCUUCGGUCCUGGGCCACACUUGAUUUUCAGCUUUUCUGACAGUCGAAGCAUUAAAAGCUUACGAUGCUCAGGUAGAAGGCCCGCCAAGUAAUAAAAGUGAUCAGUCCCGUUCCCUAACUCACUCUGGCCAGGCCCCGGGCCCCGGGCCAGUGGCUUGUUAGAGGCACUCCUCCACUGCUCCCCGUGGCAGAGCUGUGGGGAAAGGAGGCCGGGUGGGCCAGGGGACCGCUCUGCCAAGGCCUGCGGUCGGGCAGGGAGAGUGGGGGGCGGGGAGGGUGCCGGACCGCCUCCAUCUGUCGGCAGACAGCCCCUCCCCGGGGAACUCCCCGACCGGCCGGGGAGCCCAGGGUCCAGACAGCCUCGUGAACUCCCGAGGUGGCCACUGGAUGACUUCAUGGGCCUUUCCCACUCCUGAGUCACCACAACUCACUCGCUGACCCCUUGGGCACCUUUGGAGGGAGGAGAGUGGGCGGCGGGGCUGGUGGGCAGGGCAGGGCCGUGUGUUACCUAACAGUGCAGGGGGGCGGUGGGGGAAAGCAGGCUGUGACAUUACCUCUGCUGUGCGAAUUAGGGGGCCUCUCUGCCCCUCUCUGGGCCUCAGGGACAACAUCACCCCCUCCAGGGGGGGGGUGCAUCGAAGCCCCCCAUUCCAGCUUGGGCCUGCUAGAACUGGCCAGCUUGGGGCUGUGGAUGUAGCUGUCCCAGAGUGAAAGGAGGAAAGUGUCCCUGUUUCUUCCCUGCCCUGCCCCCAACGCAGGUGUGAAUCAGCCCAGGUGAGGAAACUGACUCACCUUCCCACCUGGGCCUGGAGAAAGGGCCACUUUCCCUUCCCCGGGGUUGGAAUCAAACUUGAACUUGACUGUUAACUUCCAGAAGAGAGUGACUCUGACGCGUUGGCGGCGGGUGGGGGCGGCUACAAUGCAGACUUGGGGAUGUCAGGUCCUUGGAGGAAGACACCGAGUGCCGGGCUCAUGGUAUCCACUUGGCAGACAUGACCUUAGAGGAUCCUUGAGCCACCUGUCGGGCACACCGGGAGCGGCCCGAAUCUUUGCGUCCUCGCCGCAAGGCUCCGAGGACCGUCUGAACCAGUGUGGGUUCUACCCCUUCGCCAGCCCGAGCCUCGGUUUCCCUCAUCUGCCUGCCUGUCCUGCCUGCCUCCCAGGGUGAACUGAGCUGAAGGAUUCUCUAGUGGAAACACUGGGGGCAGCUAGUGGGUGUGGAGGAGACUUGGGGGCAGGGUUCUUGCUGAGAAGCAGUAGGACAGGGCACAGGACUCCUAACUCAGGGAGUGACUUUGGCCAAAUCCUUUCUUCUCUCUCAGCCUCAGUUUCCCCAUCUAUAAAACAAUACGGCCUCACCGAAUGCCCAGGACCUUGGGGGGACCUCUAAUGGUCCAAGUGUGACUCUGCCGUCCUUCAUUCGACGAGCCCUCGCUGACGGACAUGAGGGCGUUUCCAGCUUUUCUCCAUCAGACACAAUGCCACGACGAACGUCUUUGCCCUGUCCCUUUGGCACCUGCUGGAUGGUUCUAGAGCAUAGAAGUUGCCUUAGGAGAGUUACUGGGUCAAAAGGUAAGCUCGUUUACGGUUUGAUUGGUUUCAUCAGAUCGAGUCAACAUGUAUUAGAAAUGUAGACUAUUCGGGCACCUGGGCAGCUCAGUUGGUUGAGCAUCCGACUUCAGCUCAGGUCAUGAUCUCACGGUUCGUGAGUUCGAGCCCCCGCUCGAAGUCGGGCUCACUGCUGUCAGUGCAGAGCCCGCUUUAGAGCCUCUGUUUCCCUUUCUCUCUGCUCCUUCCCACUCACACUUGCUCUCUCUCUCUUAAAAAAAAUAUGUAGACUCUUGAGAAGGAGAGAAGCAUGGAAAUAGGCUUUUGGAUUUUAUAGUGUUGGAUAUUCCCAAACCCGGAAUCAGAUGACUGGAAGGCAUCGGGAGAGGAUCCUGGAAAGGACAUCUGUGCUGGGGUCUCACUCAGGGGGAGCCUUGAGUAACCUGUCCCAAGCCCUCUGUGGGUUUCUGUCCCCUGGGGUAGGAGAAAGCAGAGGAGAUGGGACCGGGGCCCCCUCUGUGCAGCUAUAGCCCCCUACCACUCCCACCACAAUGUGGGUCUCGCUGUGUAGUCACGGCCUGUUUAUAGCUCCCAGGCUGGGAGCUCCUCGAGGGCACCAGUAGACGGGCCAGCAAGUGGUUGAAGUGUCCAAAGUAUGCGUGCACACCUGUGGGGGCUGCGGGGGGGCUUCUGCAGUUGAAUACAGCCUGGGUGUGCACUUGGGUGGGUCCUGGGUACAGCCUUCAGUGUUCUGGCAGGCCCGUGCGAUGUGCGUGUGUGCGUUAUCUGUGUGCACGUGAAUGCUUGUGUGCGUGUCUGUAGGUAAACGUGGGCAUGUCCCUGUGUUGAGUGCAUGGCUGCAUACCUGUGUACCCGCCUCUGUGGGUGCGCAUGGUCAUUUGCACACACUCAUGUAUUUGCACGAGUGCCGUGUGCGUGGGUGUGUCCGUGCAUGCGUGUGCGUGCACGCCGUGUGCAUGGGUGUGUCCGUGCAUGCGUGCGUCCGUGCAUGCGUGCGCGCGCACGCCGUGUGCAUGGGUGUGUCCGUACAUGGGUGCGUCUGUGCAUGCGUGCGCGUGCGUUGCUUCCGGGGGCAGGUUGCUGCCGUGAAAAGCCUCCUUGUAGCAGCUGCUACAUGUCACUAUUCCUCAUUUGAGAACUAAAAAUAGCCCAUGCCCAGCUCUGUCCCAGCGGGCAGGGGGCCGCCGGGCAGCCCCACAGGGCACCCUGGCCAGGCUCUUGCCCUCCUCCCUUCUUGGGCCACCGUCCUCCUUGCCUGUCCCGGCCGCGGGCUCCCAUGAGCUCCUGCAGGCCCUGAUCAGCCAGGGCAGGGAGGGGGUGGGGAGGUGCCGAGGCCCUGCCCAUGUCCAGGCGGCUGGACUCGAGCAAGGCCUGAUAAGGUCAAGCAUGGAGUGGGGUCCGCCCCCUCGCUCCAGCCAGGGCCAACCGGACGGACAUGAGUCAGCACAGGGGGCAUCGGGCAGCGCAGGCCUGACCACUGGCUGGUGGCAGGGAAGGCCUGGGGGUGGGCUCUCCCCCCCUGGGCAGGGCAGGAACUAGCCAGGAGGAAUCACCUGCUGGCGUCGGCCGAGCCCUGACCUCAUUCUCCAUCUUGAGGAACGCCGCCUUCUCUUCCACCCAGAAAGCCCCUCUCCCAGGCCCCCGGUGGGCUCCCUGGCCUGGCCUGGCCAUAUCCCUUAGCAUUCAGAGUGCUGACGCCCACCCUGCAGAAGGGCGGUUCCUGGAUUAGCUGCACUGCCCUAGGGCCUUGCAUACACCCCCUCCUUGGGGAAGUCCUUGCUGACCCGCAGGCUGUGCUGGGGCAUCUUCUGAGCGCCAGCUCCCUCCCUGGGAGCCCCUCACUCUCAGCAGGGAAGAGUAUCUUCUCCAUCCCUGUGUUCACAUCGGGUCCCUCAAUGCUUCUCCAUCACAGCCUCGGAGGUGUCAUUCUGUCCUCUUCUACAGCAGACGAAGCCAAGGCCCCACUGGGAUGUGACUGGCCCAAAGUCCUCAUUUGCUGUGUGACUUUAGGCUAAUGGCCUAACCUCUCUGGUUUCCUUAUCAGAGGGAUCAACGGGGCACUAAUCUCCUCCUGGUGAUGCUGUGCGCUGUGUAAGGGGACGGACGCCGUGAAUUCUUGAGGCCUACUGCAAAUCCCACCUUGGGCAGGACUUACCGGGGGAUCCCCAGGCACAGGCUCUACUGGGGGCUGUGCAGCCCCCAGCUGGACCAGAGGUUCAGGGGUGGAAAUGAUUCUAGCUGGAACCCAGGUGGUCUUUGGCCCUGGGGUUGAGCCAUUCCCGGAAGUAAGCCAGCAGCUGCUCUGAGCCCAGCUGGAUGGAUGGGAGUGGGAGGGUGUGGAUGGGGGGCCCCGGAACUGCCCCACUAGCUCUUGGGAAGAACAUGGAGAAAGUGCCUUUGGCCUGGGGCCUGGAUCGGGUGGUGACAGACCCCGGGCUUGGAUCCUCCGCUGAGAAAGGGGCAGAUGUGGAGGAGGAGCAAGGACACCCUGAGAUCUGGCCCUGGUGCUCUGAGCCAGCUUCCCUACUUCCUAGUUGCGUGACUCAGUUUCCUCAUCUGCAAAGCGCGGUUAUAACUGCCUCACCUCGCAAAGUUGUUGUGAGGACUGAGUGGCUCGUGCGCCCAGGGGUCUGGCACACAGUAGGCCUCACCUGGGGCAUCUCCCCUCCCGCACCCUCUCUAGCUCCCAGGCACCUGCAAAUCCCCCCUCUUUCCCAGGCUCAGAGAAUGACACAAAGGGGGGAAGAAGGGACAAUUAAAACAAACAAAACCCCUAUAUACUUGCUAACAGGCUCACAAUCAAGAUCAAAGAGUGUGGAGUGAAACGUCCCCCCCCUCCCACCUCUUCAGUCCGUUUCUGGAGGAUUGUCCCAGAGAUGGCCUAGGCAGAAACACUCAAAUAUAUAUUUCCUUUUUUCUCUACACCUUCAGCACGCGUCCGC